GACGAACCGUGCAAACGUUGUUCGGAAUCACUGGGCUUAAAGGGCGCGUAGGCGGCCAAUCAAGUCGGGGGUGAAAUCCUGCAGCUCAACUGCAGAAGUGCCUUCGAUACUGAUCGGCUCGAGGGAGGUAGGGGUGUGUGGAACUUCUGGUGGAGCGGUGAAAUGCGUUGAUAUCAGAAGGAACGCCGGUGGCGAAAGCGACGCACUGGACCUCAUCUGACGCUGAGGCGCGAAAGCCAGGGGAGCAAACGGG
rnacentral:rRNA from 1 species